UGGGGAAUAUUGCACAAUGGGCGAAAGCCUGAUGCAGCGACGCCGCGUGAGGGAUGACGGCCUUCGGGUUGUAAACCUCUUUCAGCAGGGACGAAGCGCAAGUGACGGUACCUGCAGAAGAAGCACCGGCUAACUACGUGCCAGCAGCCGCGGUAAUACGUAGGGUGCAAGCGUUGUCCGGAAUUACUGGGCGUACAGAGUUCGUAGGCGGUUUGUCGCGUCGGUUGUGAAAACAAGCAGCUCAACUGCUGGCAUGCAGGCGAUACGGGCAGACUUGAGUACUGCAGGGGAGAAUGGAAUUCCUGGUGUAGCGGUGAAAUGCGCAGAUAUAAGGAGGAACACCGGUGGCGAAGGAGGGUCUCUGGGCAGUAACUGACGCUGAGGAACGAAAGCGUGGGUAGCGAACAGG
rnacentral:rRNA from 1 species